rnacentral:tRNA from 1 species
AUGUAGUGCAAUGGAUAGCCGUUGGACUUCUAAUCCAAAGAUUGUGGGUUUGAAUCCCACCUGGAAUG